UUAGUUUUUUAUCAACAUGUAUGCUCUUUAGAAAUUCUCAGUGGCAGAUCUAACAGAGCUAAUUGGUCUUUACUGGAGUAUAUACCACUGAUCCGAAACUGUAAUACUAUUGAACAUAAUAGGAAUUAAAGACGGUUCUUUGAACUGUUGUGCCAUAAACUAAAUCUCAAGAAGUAUUCUGAAUGCCAGAAGUUGGAACAAAUUAGAAGAAUAAUGUUGUCACACGGGAACGAUCAUGUGGCACAAAAACUUCAUUUGAAUUAUUAUUACCACCAUACCGAAGAAUUGAACAUAGCAGCACAUAUGAAAAAUCUUCACACUAUUUGUGAUAUUUAAUCUACACCCACUUGAUACCCUCCCUAAUGAUUCCUUUGAAGAUACCCUUUCUAAUGAUGCAAGACAUGAUUUCUUAGAGAACUAUCUCCAUCUCCCUUGUAGGUUUAUCCACAACUGGUGGCAUGUCGAAGUCUGUUACUUUGGAAUGUGAAUCCCCUAAUAGCAAAGCUCUGGAGGUAUAUGACCAAAACAUCAUGAAGGAUCUCGAUAGAAGUGAUUGUGAGGCAGGAAAAGUUCAGGUCCAGCCAAGGAGAGGCUUAAAACAUUGCUAGAUGAGCUUAAGAAUGAGUCCAUUUGGCAUGCGGAAUGGCUCCUUGAUUUACUUAUAUUAUGGGCAUUAUCGUGCAAACUCCGAAUCUCUUGACCUGACCGGCCAAGUUCGGCGCAUAUACCUGCGGGGGAGACUUGGAGCUCCACACAG